rnacentral:rRNA from 1 species
AGUAGUUUGAUCAUGGCUCAGGAUGAACGCUAGCUACAGGCUUAACACAUGCAAGUCGAGGGGCAGCAUGAAGUUUGCUUGCAAACUUUGAUGGCGACCGGCGCACGGGUGAGUAACGCGUAUCCAACCUUCCCCGUAGUAGGGCACAGCCCGGCGAAAGUCGGAUUAAUUCCCUAUGUUCUCCAAUGCAGGCAUCUAAGUUGGAGCAAAGAUUCAUCGCUAUGGGAUGGGGAUGCGUCUGAUUAGGUAGUAGGCGGGGUAACGGCCCACCUAGCCGACGAUCAGUAGGGGUUCUGAGAGGAAGGUCCCCCACAUUGGUACUGAGACACGGACCAAACUCC